rnacentral:rRNA from 1 species
GUUUAGUAUUUGGUCGUAGACCCGAAACCAGGUGAUCUACCCUUGGUCAGGUUGAAGUUCAGGUAACACUGAAUGGAGGACCGAACCGACUUACGUUGAAAAGUGAGCGGAUGAACUGAGGGUAGCGGAGAAAUUCCAAUCGAACCUGGAGAUAGCUGGUUCUCUCCGAAAUAGCUUUAGGGCUAGCCUCAAGUGAUGAUUAUUGGAGGUAGAGCACUGUUUGGACGAGGGGCCCCUCUCGGGUUACCGAAUUCAGACAAACUCCGAAUGCCAAUUAAUUUAACUUGGGAGUCAGAACAUGGGUGAUAAGGUCCGUGUUCGAAAGGGAAACAGCCCAGACCACCAGCUAAGGUCCCAAAAUAUAUGUUAAGUGGAAAAGGAUGUGGCGUUGCCCAGACAACUAGGAUGUUGGCUUAGAAGCAGCCAUCAUUUAAAG